rnacentral:piRNA from 1 species
UGAUUGUCUCUGCCAGGAAAUUUAUUUUCCCA